rnacentral:rRNA from 1 species
AUUGAACGCUGGCGGCAGGCUUAACACAUGCAAGUCGAGCGGGGACUUCGGUCCUAGCGGCGAACGGGUGAGGAAUGCUUGGGAAUCUGCCUGGUAGUGGGGGAUAACGUUUCGAAAGGAACGCUAAUACCGCAUACGUCCUACGGGAGAAAGGGGGGGAUCUUCGGACCUCUCGCUAUCAGAUGAGCCCAAGUCGGAUUAGCUAGUUGGUGAGGUAAAGGCUCACCAAGGCGACGAUCCGUAGCUGGUCUGAGAGGAUGAUCGGCCACACUGGAACUGAGACACGGUCCAGACUCCUACGGGAGGCAGCAGUGGGGAAUAUUGGACAAUGGGCGAAAGCCUGAUCCAGCCAUGCCGCGUGUGUGAAGAAGGCCUUCGGGUUGUAAAGCACUUUAAGCGAGGAGGAAUGGCUCUGGGUUAAUACCCUUGAGCAGUGACGUUACUCGCAGAGUAAGCACCGGCUAACUCUGUGCCAGCCGCCGCCGUAACAC